rnacentral:tRNA from 1 species
GCCGAUGUGUUGGAAUUGGCAGACGAGCUUGACUCAAAAUCAAGUGCCCUACGGGCGUGCGGGUUCGACCCCCGCCAUCGGCACCA